rnacentral:misc_RNA from 1 species
GAUGAAGAACGCAGCGAAAUGCGAUACUUGGUGUGAAUUGCAGAAUCCCGUGAACCAUCGAGUCUUUGAACGCAAGUUGCGCCCGAAGCCAUUAGGCCGAGGGCACGCCUGCCUGGGCGUCACACGUCGUUGCCCCCCCAUCUACUCCUUCGGGAUUGCGGGGGGCGGAUGAUGGCCUCCCGUGCGCCUCGCCGAGCGGUUGGCAUAAAUGCCAAGUCCUCGGCGACGCACGCCACGACAAUCGGUGGUUGCGAAACCUCGGUUGCCCGUCGUGUGCGGUCGUCGCGCAUCGAGGGCUCGAAAAAAUUGCCGGGUUCCGGCUCGGCUUUCAACGCGACCCCAGGUCAGGCGGGGUUACCCGCUGAAUUUAAGCAUAUCAAUAAGCGGAGGA